ensembl:lncRNA
AGUCACUGUUAUCUAACUGAUUAAGCCAGUUCAUUUACUAUUUAUGAAUGGUCAAGUACAGUUUAAGGAUUUUAAAAAAUGCAUAAAGCUAUGAAAGAUUAUGUAAAAAUAAUGAUAUUGUCUGUCAUGUUACAAAUGUUGAUCACUCUAUUACAAACAUAGACUGUGCAGCAGCUUGGCACAUGCAGUGAUAGGAGAGCAGAUAUUUAUCAUACCAUGUUACUUGAAUUGGAAUUGAGGAAAUUCCCUGCAAUCCGCAAACUGAAGUAAUAUUCAUAGCUAGUUUAGUUAAGCAAACUGAGUCGUUUAGCAUGGAAGUGUCACGAAUACCACCGAAGGUGGCUCCCCUUUCUGCUCGGGUGGCGCUCGGCGGUCCUCGUCGCCGGUCUAUUAGCUGCCACCGAUCCCUUUUUCCUUUUCGUUUGUUUUUGUCUAAUUGUUUUCACCUGUUCCUUGUUGGGGUUUUGGGAUGGGUGUUAUUGAAGUUCGUUUUGCCCGCUGGUGUUUGUGCGGGCUUGUUGGUUUGGUGAUGUAUCGUGUUUGUUUUGAGUUUUCGUUGUCCAGUGUUUUGUAACUAGGUUUUGGGUUUGUUUAGCGCCAGUGUUUUAGGGCAUUCACCCAUGUUUGGACCUGUUACGUUUUGAAGGACAUGAAAGCGUUUUUCCCGUUCACUUCGCUCUCUGCAUUUGACUCCUCACUGAUCAUUUACCCGACGUUACAGGAAGUACAAAUAAAUAAUCGUUAUUGUCCCCUUUUGAAGUCCAUUGUCAGUAAUCAAGCAAAUCAGAAAGAUACACUUCUGUAGUUAAUUGGAACCAAGAUUAAAAUCUACAAGGUGCCUAUUCAAGAUCAACCCAGAUAAGGGGUCCAAAGUGGAGAAGUCAAGAAAGCAGCAUGCAAUCAAUCCCAAAAGUUAUUUUUCUGAUCUCAAACAUCGCAGACUAUGAAUGGAGGGAGUAGCCUCGCGCACGCACGCAUACAGGUACUUAAAUCCACCGACUGCAGCACGCAGUCAAGAAACAGGCAGAUGAUCAACACUUGGCCAAAAUGUUAGAACUGAAUGUUUUUACAUUAGCAUGUUGUAAGUUGCUUUUAAGUGAAUUUUUGACACGGUAUAUGUAAAGUUUGAGUUCAAGAAAUGUUUUUGCACUAGGAUCGAUAUACCUUGUCCUACACACAUCCCCCCCAGAUAGUUGUGGGUUAGGAUGACAGAAUAAUAACUUGACAUAUGCUUUAUAACCAAAAUGUCAAAAUACUGUUAAAAAAAAAAAUAUAUAUAUAUUGAAGUUAAUUUCUUAUGUUUGACACCGUAACUAUCAAGUGUAUAGUUCCAGAAAUGUUUGUACACUGAGAUUAUCUUCUUAACACACCCCUCCCCUCCCUCUCUGUCUACCCCUUUACCUCUCUGCCAUGCCACUGCACGCACAGGUGAAGGUUUGAACAUGUAUUGAAUAACUUAAUAUACGUCAUAAAUCUUGAAAUACAUUUAUAAGGAAAUCCCUGUGUCAUGUCUUAUUUCUUUUUUUUGCUGGAGAAUGCUUUCUUUUCACAACCAAUAAUAGUUACAUUGAGAGUAGGUUUUUGUAAUAUUAUAAUUAUCUGUUUUCUAGCUUUAUUUUGUCAACAAUUAAAGGAGUUGUCUGUUUUUUUGGCUGACCAAUUAUCUAUUUUCACAACUGAUACCAGUUGAAUUGAGAGUAGUUUUUUGUAAUAUACAAUUAUCUGUGUUCUAGCUAUAUUUUGGCAACAAUUAAGGAGUAAUGUCUGUUUUUUUUUUUUCACUUAACAAUUCUCUAGUUUCACAACUGAUGCCAGUUAGAUGAAGGGUAAGUUUUUAAAAAAUAUUAUGACAAUUAUCUGUAUUUUUGUGUAACUUUGGCAUCAAUUAAGGAAUUAUUUAAGUUUCUUAGCUGACCAAUUCUCUAUUUUCACAACUGAUACCAGUUAUAUUGAGGGUAGGUUUUUGUAAUAUUAUGACAAUCAUGUCACCCUGAUCUGUUUUACCUGUCUUUGUGAUUGUCACCACCCCACUCCAGGUGUUGCCCAUCUUCUCCAUUACACCCUGUGUAUGUAUACCUGUGUUCUCUGUUUGUCUGUUGCCAAUUCAUUUUGUUUCGGCAAGCCUACCAGCAGUUUUCCCUAUGCUCCUGUCGCGAUUGUUCCUGUUGUCCCGGUGUUGAUCAAUCUGCCUGUCUGCUGUCCUGUGCCUUUGCCCCACCUUUCUAGAUUACUGACCUUUGCCUGCCCUGAGCCUGCCGGCCAUCCUGUACCUUUGCCCUACCUAUCUGGAUUACUGACCUCUGCCUGCCCUUGACCUGCAUGCCCCUGUUCGAUUAAUAAACUGUUGUUACUUCGAUGUUGUCUGCAUCUAGGUCUUACCUGAAAAGUAAUAAAUUAUCUGUGUUCUAGCUAUA